rnacentral:rRNA from 1 species
GACGAACGCUGGCGGCGUGCUUAACACAUGCGAGUCGAACGGAAAGGCCCUGCUUUUGUGGGGUGCUCGAGUGGCGAACGGGUGAGUAACACGUGAGUAACCUGCCCUCGACUUUGGGAUAACUUCAGGAAACUGGGGCUAAUACCGGAUAGGAGCUCCUGCUGCAUGGUGGGGGUUGGAAAGUUUCGGCGGUUGGGGAUGGACUCGCGGCUUAUCAGCUUGUUGGUGGGGUAGUGGCUUACCAAGGCUUUGACGGGUAGCCGGCCUGUGAGGGUGACCGGCCACAUUGGGACUGAGAUACGACCCAGACUCCUACGGGAGGCAGCAGUGAGGAAUAUUGCGCAAUGGGCAGAAGCCUGAUGCAGCAACGCCGCGUGCUGGAUGACGGCCUUCAGGUUGUAACCCGCUUUCGCCUGUGACGAAGCGGGAGUGACGGUAAUGGGUAAAGAAGCACCGGGUAAAUACGUG